rnacentral:rRNA from 1 species
UACGGGGGGGGCAAGCGUUGUUCGGAAUUACUGGGCGUAAAGGGCUCGUAGGUGGCCAACUAAGUCAGACGUGAAAUCCCCAGGCUUAACCUGGGAACUGCGUCUGAUACUGGAUGGCUUGAAUUCGGGAGAGGGAAGCGGAAUUCCGGGUGUAGCGGUGAAAUGCGUAGAUAUCCGGAGGAACACCGGUGGCGAAGGCGGCUUCCUGGACCGACACUGACGCUGAGGCGCGAAAGCUAGGGGAGCAAACGGG